GGUCUGAUCGUAUAACGGUUAGUACACAAGAUUCUGAUUACCCGCUUCCUCGUCUCUGCGAGUAUUGCAGUGUCGUUCUUGUAAUCUGGGUUCGAUUCCCAGUCGGACCU
rfam:Trichosporon asahii var. asahii CBS 8904 unplaced genomic scaffold scaffold00066, whole genome shotgun sequence.